rnacentral:rRNA from 1 species
GCGAAAACUUUACAAUGCUGGCAACAGCGAUAAGGGAACCUCGAGUGCCAGGUUACAAAUCUGGCUGUCGAGAUGCCUAAAAAGCAUUUCAUAGCAGGGGCCGGGCAAGACCGGUGCCAGCCGCCGCGGUAACACCAGCGGCUCGAGUGGUAACCGUUAUUAUUGGGUCUAAAGGGUCUGUAGCCGGCCGGAUAAGUCUCUUGAGAAAUCUGGCAGCUUAACUGUCAGGCUUUCAGGAGAUACUGUCUGGCUCGAGGCCGGGAGAGGUGAGAGGUACUUCAGGGGUAGGGGUGAAAUCUUGUAAUCCUUGAAGGACCACCAGUGGCGAAGGCGUCUCACCAGAACGGACCUGACGGCAAGGGACGAAAGCUAGGGGCACGAACC